CCUCCCUUCGCUUCCUUGGGCGACUCUGAUCAGAUCGAGUCUUGCUCUCGAUCUAUAGGUUCCGAAUCGGAGGCGCCGACCCGCGAUUCUCGCUAGCUAGGUCUGGAUCUUCCUUGGCCGGACCCGAGGCAUGCAUUUUGCAAUGCACACUAUGGAUCUUCUGAGAAUAAACGCAAUAAGGAUUCCAAACAAGCAGAAAAUAUUGAACCUGCAAGCAAUGCCAAUAGGAAAGAAGCAUUAGAUGCAGCCGCUUGGAUGUUUAAUGUUGUGACAUCUGUUGGAAUUAUUAUGGUUAAUAAGGCCCUAAUGUCCACCCACAGAUUCAACUUUGCUUGCUAAACAGCAAGCAAAUAUCAAUAGAAUUCCAAGUACAACUUUUGCUGAGGGAAUGAAUGCUCCUUGGUGAGAAGUAUGUCAGAUAUUAUGUUCUCUCUUUGAUAUUUCUGUUAAUGGUUAUAACCUUAGAUAUUACCAGAUUAAUAGUUAUUGACAUUUUGUAUCUUUUAAUAUGUAUGCAAAUUUGCAUUAGGAUACCUAUUUUGACAUGAUGUCCUAUCGCCUAAUUUUCGAUUGGCAGGUGAUCUGUUCAUUGUUAGUUUAAGAAUUCUUCUCAUUGUUUAUUGUGUUUCUGAGGGCAUGGUUUUUAUAAUGUUAUUUUUUGCUCAUUUCUGUGGGUGCCUUUUGUUCAUACUAGGUUAAUAUAUGUUUCAGCAAAGUGUUUCUUUCUCUAAUAUUUGUUUAAUAAUGUUAAAUAAUAAGUUCCUUCAGCAAUUUAUCUUCAUGGUAAGUGUUUAGUUUUUACGCAAAUGAUAUUCCAGCAUUUUUUUCACUUAGUCCAAUAAAUGUGCACAUUUUCAGUCUUUGUUUCAUGUAGACCCACUGAUUCAAGGUGCUUUUGUCUUCCAACUGCAACAAAAUGGCUUUAACACCUUCCAAAA